rnacentral:rRNA from 1 species
AUUACAAUUUCUUCGGAAUGACGAUUUAGUGACUGAGUGGCGGACGGGUGAGUAACGCGUGGGUAACCUGCCUUAUACAGGGGGAUAACAGUUAGAAAUGACUGCUAAUACCGCAUAAGCGCACAGGAUUGCAUGAUCUGGUGUGAAAAACUCCGGUGGUAUAAGAUGGACCCGCGUCUGAUUAGCUGGUUGGUGAGGUAACGGCCCACCAAGGCGACGAUCAGUAGCCGACCUGAGAGGGUGACCGGCCACAUUGGGACUGAGACACGGCCCAAACUCCUACGGGAGGCAGCAGUGGGGAAUAUUGCACAAUGGGGGAAACCCUGAUGCAGCGACGCCGCGUGAGCGAAGAAGUAUUUCGGUAUGUAAAGCUCUAUCAGCAGGGAAGAAAAAAUGACGGUACCUGACUAAGAAGCCCCGGCUAACUACGUGCCAGCAGCCGCGGUAAUACGUAGGGGGCAAGCGUUAUCCGGAUUUACUGGGUGUAAAGGGAGCGCAGGCGGUGCGGCAAGUCUGAUGUGAAAGCCCGGGGCUCAACUCCGGGACUGCAUUGGAAACUGUCGUACUUGAGUAUCGGAGAGGUAAGUGGAAUUCCUAGUGUAGCGGUGAAAUGCGUAGAUAUUAGGAGGAACACCAGUGGCGAAGGCGGCU